NNNNNNNNNGAAGAGAGAGAGAAUGCAUGGAGUGCUCCAACCACUCUGUGCUGGGCUGAGCAGUGCCAGCAGGCCCAGCCCAGAUGGGGAUGGCCGCAGGUACCUGCGCUGUUCUGCGGAAGCGGCCAUGGGCGGGUUCCUGUUCUUGUGUCCGGUCCAGGGCUGCAUCUGGUAAAGAGCGAGCGCGGCCAGAGCUGCUGAAAGGCUGCAGGAGAGGCUGGAGAACACAGCCCAGCCCUGUUCUCGCCCGGCAGGGAGAACCUCGCAAUGCCCCAGGGAUGGAGCUGCCAUGUGGUCCAGCCCCAGCCCAGCUUCUGUCCUAUCUAUGGGCAUGUGCGAUGGGAUGGGAUGGGAUGGGAUGGGAUGGGAUGGGUUGUGGCCAAGCUGGCUGCAGCCACCAGGCAUGCAGCCCAGCAACCCAGCUCUGCCACUCACCCUCCUGCAGCUGCUUGAAUGGCACCAUCUCUACAGUCUCGUGCACUGGGGCAGCUCCAGGGCCUUCUUCCUCUUUCUCCACCCAGGCCAGCUUGGGCAGUCUUGGGGGUCUCUGCUCCAUGUCAAUGACUGGGUCUGUGGCUACUUGCAGGAGAGAUACCUCGGAAAACUCCGAGUCAGCAAGUCCUGCUUUUGUGCCUGCACGGCACCUUCAAGACAGAAGCCUCAGGAAGGCUCAAGACAGCAAGUCCUGCACACUGGUCUCAAGGGCUCCUGCCACAAGGACAGGAGACUCCUGUCAAGGAUUGUGCUCUCGCCUCGAGGGCACUGGUGACAGGGAUGGGAGAUGCCUCCAGGGCACCAAGUCCCACGCUCUGCCCUUGAGGGCACCUGCAGAAUUGAAGCCUAGGAAGGCCACGGGUCAGCAAGUCCUGUGGUCUGGCCUCGACGUCAGCUGCAGGAAUAAUGCCUCAGAAAUCUCUGGGUCAGACACGAACGAGUGCGCUGUGCGGGGGCUCCUCACAGCACUGCUCUGUCCCGUCCUGUCCCGUCGCGUGCUUGGAGCACUGUGGCAUGGUCCUGUCAUCGUCAGCUCCUAUGUCACCACGUGUCACAAAGGUCCCUUUGACACACUGUUCCAUGCCAUAGUGACCAUGCUGCAGCGUGUCACAAAGGGCCCCUCCACACACUGCCCCCUGCACUACGGCCGCCCCUGGCCCACCCAAAGUGGCUCAGGUUGGAAGGAAUCCCUCACCCCAAGUGUCUGAGACAGCCCAACAGGGUCUUCAGGAAUGACUCAGACCAUCAGCAAACGCUGCC
rnacentral:lncRNA from 1 species